CCUACGGUGGCUGCAGUGGGAAUAUUGGACAAUGGGCGAAAGCCUGAUCCAGCCAUGCCGCGUGUGUGAAGAAGGCCUUCGGGUUGUAAAGCACUUUCAGUGGGGAAGAAAGCCUUGGGGCUAAUACCCUCGAGGAAGGACAUCACCCACAGAAGAAGCACCGGCUAACUCCGUGCCAGCAGCCGCGGUAAUACGGAGGGUGCGAGCGUUAAUCGGAAUUACUGGGCGUAAAGCGCGCGUAGGCGGUCUGAUAAGCCGGUUGUGAAAGCCCCGGGCUCAACCUGGGAACGGCAUCCGGAACUGUCAGGCUAGAGUGCAGGAGAGGAAGGUAGAAUUCCCGGUGUAGCGGUGAAAUGCGUAGAGAUCGGGAGGAAUACCAGUGGCGAAGGCGGCCUUCUGGACUGACACUGACGCUGAGGUGCGAAAGCGUGGGUAGCAAACAGGAUUAGAUACCCCGGUAGUC
rnacentral:rRNA from 1 species